rnacentral:rRNA from 1 species
GACGAACGCUGGCGGCGUGCCUAAUACAUGCAAGUAGGACGGAGUUGCGAACGGGUGUGUAACGCGUAGGUAACUACCUAUUAGAGGGGGAUAACUAUUGGAAACGUUAGCUAAUACCGCAUACUAGUAGAUGGACCUGCGUUGUAUUAGUUAUUAGGUAGGGUAAUGGCCUACCUAGGCAAAUGUACAUAGCCGACCUGAGAGGGUGUUAGGGCAACGUUGGAGUGAGACACGGCCCAGACUCCUACGGGAGGCAGCAGUAGUGAAUCUGCGGAAAUGGGGGGAACCUUGACCGAGCAACGCCGGGGGAGUGAAGAAGGUUUUUGGAUCGUAAAGAUAUGUUGUUAAGGAAGCGGUACUUAACCAGAAAGGAACGGCUAACUACGUGCCAGCAGCAGCGGUAAUAC